rnacentral:tRNA from 1 species
GCGGAUAUGGCGGAAUGGCAGACGCGCAAGCUUGAGGUGUUUGUGGGGAGACCCGUGCUGGUUCAAGUCCAGUUAUCCGCACCA